UCGGCAUUUGUGUGCGGGUUGCGGAGCUCCCGCGACCCCAAAACACUCGGGCGCGGGCGGCGUGGCGGGGCUGUGGAGCUGCGCCAUGUCCGCGUCGGCGUGGUGUUGCCUGCGUUGCUGCAGGGACGGCGGGACCGGCCACAUUCCUCUCAAGGAGAUGCCGGCCGUACAGCUGGACACGCAGCACAUGGGAACAGAUGUUGUCAUUGUGAAGAAUGGAAGAAGAAUCUGUGGCACUGGAGGUUGUUUAGCCAGUGCACCUUUACAUCAGAACAAAAGCUACUUUGAGUUCAAAAUCCAGUCUACUGGAAUCUGGGGUAUAGGUGUUGCAACUCAGAAAGUUAACUUGAACCAGAUUCCUCUUGGCCGAGACAUGCACAGUUUGGUGAUGAGAAAUGAUGGAGCCCUAUACCACAACAACGAAGAAAAAAACAGGCUGCCAGCAAACAACCUUCCUCAGGAAGGAGAUGUAGUGGGUAUCACGUAUGACCAUGUAGAAUUAAAUGUGUAUUUGAAUGGAAAAAACAUGCAUUGUCCAGCAUCAGGUAUACGAGGGACAGUGUAUCCAGUUGUAUAUGAUUUUGUGGGUAUUUUUACCUAAAGAUUUUACAACCCAAGGCCAGCUAGAUGGCUCAGUGGAUGAAAACAUUUGCUGCCAACCCUGACAGCGACGUUAGAUCCUCAGGACCCACAUGAUGCAAGGAGAGAACCUGACUCCAGCAAGUUUCCUCUGACCUCUGAUUGAUGACAGUGCAAUUUUGGAUUGCCAGUUCAGUGAAUUUUAUCAUACUCCUCCACCUGGUUUUGAAAAAAUAUUAUUUGAGCAGCAGAUCUUCUGAGUGUGUUUGUUUUCAAAACUUGCACUUCUGCACCAUUACACAAGUGUUUGCCUCUUAAUAAAGCUCUCCCUUAUCUAGACAUGAGAACACAUUCUGAAAAUUGCUCUUCUUAUUGUUGUCUAAGGAACCCAUGUAUUCAUUAUACCAUAAUGUAGUUUGGUUUAAAAUAGCUGGGCAUUGUGAUAGAAAAAUCAGCAUUUGUGGCCACUUAUUUAAUCUUAUUUAAACAAACAAACCAUGGUUUUGAUUAACAGUAUUACAUGCUAACAUGUAUAUAAAUAUUUAAAGGGAAUUUUUCUUAUAUAAAGUAUUUGUUUGACAGUGAUGUGUAAUUGGGUGUUUUGGUUCUUUUUAUAAUUUUAUUUUUUGUCAUUUUGAACUUGUCAUCACAUCUGUAAGCCAAUAAUUUUGUGUUCCUUGUCCUUUUUGAUAAAUUGAACUGGCAGGAACUUAUUAUAUACCUGGCAGCUUAGUUUUGCUAACAUAUUUCCUCUGUUCAUGGACCACUUUUCUUAAAACUUAAACUGCUUCUUUUGUUGUGUUAUAUCACUGCUUUCUGUUGCCAUUUUGAAAGGUGAGAGACUCUAGUUAUCAGACCAUCUUGUUGAAGACCAUUAAGCUAACGGUUGAUUGUGCAUAAUACACUGACAUACAUUCACAGAGUUGUGAUGCUUUAAAUCUAAAGUGUGGCAGCACACAGCACUUGGGAGAUAGGCAGGCAGAUAUCUGUAAUUUUGAGGCUAGCCUGGUCUGUAUAGCGGGUAUGAGUACCAGGACAACCAGGGCUAUGUAGGGAAACCCUACCAAAAAAAAAUCUAAUUGUAUGUUUGCUGUAAGGAAUAAUAAACACUUAAUAAGGGUUA